rnacentral:misc_RNA from 1 species
UACCGUAUUGAUAUACGAUCCCGGGUCUCGGUGCUGGGUUUUAGUCCAUCCGUAUAACAAUAACAACAAAAAUGGCGUACGAGAAACCUGUUCCUGACCACAGAAGGAAGUGGGAUCGAGAUGAGUAUGAGAAAAUUGCAGCGGCAAGACUUGAAGAGGAGGAAAAGAAAGCCUUGGAGCGAGAGUUAUCUAGAGAAAAACCUGUAAAAAGGGAAUUACUGCAGCCAAGAGAGUAUAAGGUUGAUUUAGAUUCAAAGCUUGGUAAAUCUCAGGUUAUAACAAAAACAACACCAGCAAGCCAGCAAGGAGGGUACUAUUGCAAUGUAUGUGAUUGUGUUGUGAAAGAUUCAAUCAACUUUUUAGAUCACAUCAAUGGAAAGAAACAUCAGAGAAAUCUUGGAAUGUCAAUGAAAGUCGAAAGGUCUUCACUAGAACAAGUCAGAAAAAGGUUUGAGAUGAACAAACGCAAACUGGAAGAAAAGAAGAAAGAUUAUGAUUUUGAAGAGAGAAUCAAAGAAUUGAAAGAAGAGGAAGAAAAACAGAAAGCUUACAAGAAAGAGAAGCGGAAGGAACGUAAACGUAAAGCUGAUGGAGAUCUCGACCAGGAUGCUGAUCCAGAUAUGGCUGCCAUGAUGGGCUUCACAGGGUUUGGAGGCUCAAAGAAAUCAUAGCAGAUCAUUGACUUUAGAAUUACUUUCAUAUGUGAUAAAUUGAUGAAUGGGCGAAUGUGUUUAGUCACUUGCAUGGUUGUAAGGGAAACAGUCAUUUUGUUCAGUGACAGUAUGCAUCUUGUAUCUUUCAUUAUUGUGCCCUUGUUCAUAUUUUAACAAACAAUGUGUCUGUUGUAGAAUACAUCUUUUUCAAGAUUUAAAGGCUGUUUAGGCAAAAUUGGUCUUUCUGUUGAAGAGUGUGUCAUGCAAAGAAAAGAAAUUACUAUUAAAGAAUGACACUUUUUAUUACAUUUUAGAAGUUAUUUAUAUAGACAUGUUGAAAAUGAUUGUACAUGUGUAAAUAAAUAUUAUAUACUGUGAAAUAAUUUUUAACUCGACUAUUCGAAGAGU